rnacentral:rRNA from 1 species
ACUAUGGAGAGUUUGAUCCUGGCUCAGGAUGAACGCUAGCGGGAGGCUUAAUACAUGCAAGUCGAGGGGUAACAGGGGCUUCGGCCCGCUGACGACCGGCGCACGGGUGAGUAACGCGUACGCGACCUACCUCCAAGAGAGGGAUAGCCCCGGGAAACUGGGAUUAAUACCUCAUGUGAUUAUAAGGCUGCAUGGCUUUAUAAUUAAAGUUCAGGCGCUUGGAGAUGGGCGUGCGUCCCAUUAGCUAGUUGG